rnacentral:tRNA from 1 species
GGGACGGUGGCGGAAUUGGUAGACGCACCAGACUUAAAAUCUGUUGAUCAUUAAGAUCGUGAGGGUUCAAGUCCCUCUCGUCCUA